rnacentral:misc_RNA from 1 species
AAGUCGUAACAAGGUAACCGUAGGUGAACCUGCGGUUGGAUCAUUACAAAAUGAUAAUUUCUUUACAAGUAGUAGUCUCUAUUUUUUUUUAGAGAUUCCUUGUAAGAAAUUCACUAACCCUUUGUGCACUGUAAAUGUUUUUCGAGUGAUUUUUUUAACGAGAAAUCACUCGGCAGUAUUUAAACCCCAUUUUUAAUUUUGACUGAAUUUUUUCUAUAAAAUGAAAAUAUAAACAACUUUUGACAACGGAUCUCUUGGCUCUC